rnacentral:rRNA from 1 species
GUGCCAGCCGCCGCGGUAAUACGUAUGGAGCAAGCGUUAUCCGGAUUUACUGGGUGUAAAGGGAGCGUAGACGGUUAAGUAAGUCUGAAGUGAAAGCCCGGGGCUCAACCCCGGGACUGCUUUGGAAACUAUUUAACUAGAGUGCAGGAGAGGUAAGUGGAAUUCCUAGUGUAGCGGUGAAAUGCGUAGAUAUUAGGAGGAACACCAGUGGCGAAGGCGGCUUACUGGACUGUAACUGACGUUGAGGCUCGAAAGCGUGGGGAGCAAACAGGAUUAGAUACCCUGGUAGUCCACGCCGUAAACGAUGAUUACUAGGUGUUGGGGGUUAUGAACCUUCGGUGCCGCAGCUAACGCAAUAAGUAAUCCACCUGGGGAGUACGUUCGCAAGAAUGAAACUCAAAUGAAUUGACGG